AACGGCCGCGGUAUCCUAACCGUGCAAAGGUAGCAUAAUCACUUGCCUAUUAAUUGUAGGCUAGAAUGAAUGGGUUAACGAAAUAAAGACUGUCUCAAUUAAUCACCUAAAAAUUACUAUCUAUCUGAAGAAGAGUAGAUAAUCUCGAAGGACAAGAAGACCCUGUAGAGCUUAAUUUUAAUUAUAGAGCUACACUAUAAAAAUAUUCGGUUGGGGCGACCCAGGGCUAAUCAAUCACCCACUACAUAAAAGAUAAAUUAAUCAAGUAAUUGACCCCUAAAAGAUCAUAAGAACAAGCUACCUUAGGGAUAACAGGCUAAUCCCACUCAAGAGUCCUUAUCAACAGUGGGGUUUGGCACCUCGAUGUUGGCUUAGG
rnacentral:rRNA from 1 species